rnacentral:rRNA from 1 species
CAGUAGCCGCGGGAAUACGGAGGGUGCAAGCGUUAAUCGGAAUUACUGGGCGUAAAGCGCACGCAGGCGGUCUGACAAGUCAGAUGUGAAAUCCCCGGGCUUAACCUGGGAACUGCAUUUGAAACUGUCAGGCUGGAGUCUUGUAGAGGGGGGUAGAAUUCCAGGUGUAGCGGUGAAAUGCGUAGAGAUCUGGAGGAAUACCGGUGGCGAAGGCGGCCCCCUGGACAAAGACUGACGCUCAGGUGCGAAAGCGUGGGGAGCAAACAGGAUUAGAUACCCCUGUAGUCCCUGUCUCUUAUCC